rnacentral:rRNA from 1 species
GAGGGGAGCUUGCUCUCUGAUUCAGCGGCGGACGGGUGAGUAAUGCCUAGGAAUCUGCCUGGUAGUGGGGGACAACGUUUCGAAAGGAACGCUAAUACCGCAUACGUCCUACGGGAGAAAGCAGGGGACCUUCGGGCCUUGCGCUAUCAGAUGAGCCUAGGUCGGAUUAGCUAGUUGGUGAGGUAAUGGCUCACCAAGGCUGCGAUCCGUAACUGGUCUGAGAGGAUGAUCAGUCACACUGGAACUGAGACACGGUCCAGACUCCUACGGGAGGCAGCAGUGGGGAAUAUUGGACAAUGGGCGAAAGCCUGAUCCAGCCAUGCCGCGUGUGUGAAGAAGGUCUUCGGAUUGUAAAGCACUUUAAGUUGGGAGGAAGGGCAGUAAGUUAAUACCUUGCUGUUUUGACGUUACCGACAGAAUAAGCACCGGCUAACUUCGUGCCAGCAGCCGCGGUAAUACGAAGGGUGCAAGCGUUAAUCGGAAUUACUGGGCGUAAAGCGCGCGUAGGUGGUUUGUUAAGUUGGAAGUGAAAGCCCCGGGCUCAACCUGGGAACUGCUUUCAAAACUGGCAAGCUAGAGUAUGGCAGA